GUGUCAGCAGCCGCGGUAAUACGAAGGGGGCUAGCGUUGUUCGGAAUUACUGGGCGUAAAGCGCACGUAGGCGGAUUGUUAAGUCGGGGGUGAAAUCCCGGGGCCCAACCCCGGAACUGCCUUCGAUACUGGCGAUCUGGAGUCCGGAAGAGGUGAGUGGAAUUCCCAGUGUAGAGGUGAAAUUCGUAGAUAUUGGGAAGAACACCAGUGGCGAAGGCGGCUCACUGGUCCGGUACUGACGCUGAGGUGCGAAAGCGUGGGGAGCAAACAGGAUUAGAAACCCUGGUAGUCC
rnacentral:rRNA from 1 species